AGAGUUUGAUCCUGGCUCAGGAUGAACGCUAGCUACAGGCUUAACACAUGCAAGUCGAGGGGCAGCAUUGGAGUAGCAAUACUCAGAUGGCGACCGGCGCACGGGUGAGUAACACGUAUCCAACCUGCCGCUUACUCGGGGAUAGCCUUUCGAAAGAAAGAUUAAUACCCGAUGGUAUAAAGAGUUCGCAUGUUCUCUUUAUUAAAGAAUUUCGGUAAGCGAUGGGGAUGCGUUCCAUUAGAUUGUUGGCGGGGUAACGGCCCACCAAGUCUACGAUGGAUAGGGGUUCUGAGAGGAAGGUCCCCCACAUUGGAACUGAGACACGGUCCAAACUCCUACGGGAGGCAGCAGUGAGGAAUAUUGGUCAAUGGACGAGAGUCUGAACCAGCCCAAGUAGCGUGAAGGAUGACUGCCCUAUGGGUUGUAAACUUCUUUUAUAAGGGAAUAAAGUGAGGGACGUGUCCCUUUUUGUAUGUACCUUAUGAAUAAGGAUCGGCUAACUCCGUGCCAGCCGCCGC
rnacentral:rRNA from 1 species